CCUAUAUCUAUAGCACGACUUCUUCGGACAGUGUGCAAGUUAGGUGGAACGAUCCCCCUUGCACCAGGGUGUACGCGCGUCACCAAUAGACACAUACCUGCUCUAUAUCCUUACUGGCUAUAGGGUCUGAUUUCCGCACGUCAAUUUGGCACCCCAGAUGGGACCCACUCUGUUCCUGCUGCAGGACCGGCUGAGACAGGGGACACCUUUGGCACGCCCCAAGAUUUCUUGGAAGGACUCCCUUCCUCACCCGAUCACUGCAGGGACAGACAAGGACCAUCCAUAGGCGGACCAGGUAUGUGUAUGGGAAAGGGGGAACCCGUAAGGCGUGAGGAGACGUCCUACGCAGGGUAUGAAGGAGCGUGCCUGCUCCUCCCCCCCCCCCCCGAGGUAUGUGAGUGUCAUGGUUUUAGGAUUUUUGGUUAUCAGUAUUCCACAUCACAACAUCAUGCAGUGUACUGGGAGUUAAAGAGCAAAUGCUUUAGUUCCGGGUACCUGUCUGGAAGAGAAGAAGAACUACAUUCCCCAAGAGCCUUUUCGAGUACUGUUAUCAUUCCUGCUCAAGGGAACAGAUAUAAGGGCGCAGGUCAUCUGACUUGCCCCUCUUCUCAUCUCGCCGUGUUCCCUGUCAGAUCGGCUCGCUACUGCUGCGCCCGACUGCACGCAAGGCUUCAGUAUUAGCAUUGUUGCCGCUGUUUUUAAUUAUUUUGGGGUCACCUGUUUCCCUUCCUGGAGACGUGGAUUUUGUGAAAUCCCUCCGCCCCACUAGUCGCGGAACCGGGCC
ensembl:lncRNA